UACGUAGGGUGCGAGCGUUAAUCGGAAUUACUGGGCGUAAAGCGUGCGCAGGCGGCUUCGCAAGUCAGGCGUGAAAUCCCCGGGCUUAACCUGGGAACUGCAUCUGUGACUGCAUAGCUAGAGUACGGUAGAGGGGGAUGGAAUUCCGCGUGUAGCAGUGAAAUGCGUAGAUAUGCGGAGGAACACCGAUGGCGAAGGCAAUCCCCUGGACCUGUACUGACGCUCAUGCACGAAAGCGUGGGGAGCAAACAGG
rnacentral:rRNA from 1 species